AGCGGAGGAAGAACCAACAGGGAUUGCCCUAGUAACGGCGAGUGAAGCGGCAACAGCUCAAAUUUGAAAUCUGGCGUAAGCCCGAGUUGUAAUUUGUAGAGGAUGCUUCUGGGUAGCGGCCGGUCUAAGUUCCUUGGAACAGGACGUCAUAGAGGGUGAGAAUCCCGUAUGUGACUGGCUUGCACCCUCCACGUAGCUCCUUCGACGAGUCGAGUUGUUUGGGAAUGCAGCUCUAAAUGGGAGGUAAAUUUCUUCUAAAGCUAAAUACCGGCCAGAGACCGAUAGCGCACAAGUAGAGUGAUCGAAAGAUGAAAAGCACUUUGGAAAGAGAGUUAAAAAGCACGUGAAAUUGUUGAAAGGGAAGCGCCCGCAACCAGACUUUGCGGCGGUGUUCGGCUGGUCUUCUGACCGGUUUACUCGCCGCCGUGAGGCCAUCAUCGUCUGGGACCGCUGGAUAAGACCUGAGGAAUGUAGCUCCCUUCGGGGUGUGUUAUAGCCUCUGGUGAUGCAGCGCGUCUCGGGCGAGGUCCGCGCUUCGGCAAGGAUGAUGGCGUAAUGGUUGUCGGCGGCCCGUCUUGAAACACGGACCAAGGAGUCUAACAUCUAUGCGAGUGUUCGGGUGUCAAACCCCUACGCGUAAUGAAAGUGAACGGAGGUGGGAACUUUUUGUGCACCAUCGACCGAUCCUGAUGUCCUCGGAUGGAUUUGAGUAAGAGCAUAGCUGUUGGGACCCGAAAGAUGGUGAACUAUGCCUGAAUAGGGUGAAGCCAGAGGAAACUCUGGUGGAGGCUCGCAGCGGUUCUGACGUGCAAAUCGAUCGUCAAAUUUGGGUAUAGGGGCGAAAGACUAAUCGA
rnacentral:rRNA from 1 species